rnacentral:rRNA from 1 species
UACGUAGGAUGCAAGCGUUGUCCGGAAUUAUUGGGCGUAAAGAGCGCGCAGGCGGUUUAUCAAGUCAGAUGUGAAAGAGGCCGGCUUAACCGGCAAGGGUCAUUUGAAACUGAUAGACUAGAGUGCAGCAGAGGAUAGUGGAAUUCCCGGUGUAGUGGUGAAAUGCGUAGAUAUCGGGAGGAACACCAGUGGCGAAGGCGGCCUUCUGGACCAGUACUGACGCUCAUGCACGAAAGCGUGGGGAGCAAACAGG